CCUACGGGAGGCAGCAGUGGGGAAUAUUGCACAAUGGGGGCAACCCUGAUGCAGCGACGCCGCGUGAGUGAAGAAGUAUCUCGGUACGUAAAGCUCUAUCAGCAGGGAAGAAAAUGACGGUACCUGACUAAGAAGCCCCGGCUAACUACGGGCCAGCAGCCGCGGUAAUACGUCGGGGGCAAGCGUUAUCCGGAUUUACUGGGGGUAAAGGGAGCGUAGACGGCAGCACAAGGCUGGAGUGAAAUCCCGGGGCUUAACCCCGGAACUGCGUUGGAAACUGUGCGGCUGGAGUGCAGGAGGGGUAAGCGGAAUUCGUAGUGUAGCGGUGAAAUGCGUAGAUAUUAGGAGGAACACCGGUGGCGAAGGCGGCUUACUGGACUGUAACUGACGUUGAGGCUCGAAAGCGUGGGGAGCAAACAGGAUUAGAUACCCCGGUAGUC
rnacentral:rRNA from 1 species